CAUAAAAUUCUUGUGAAAAGAAGAAUUCAAUGCAUACUAUUUUAAGGGCCCAACUUUUAAUAUUCGUCUCAAGUCUGAAAGUCUCAAGUUCAGCCCUGGAGCGAACAAGUUCACUAAUGAUUUGGGAAUGGCAUCCACCAAGUCAUCAUGGAUCCUAAACUGCAUAGUAAUAUCAAGAAUAGUGAGAGUGGAGCAGGCUCUCGCCAUCGCCGCGCCGGAAGUCGUCGUCAUGCUCUCCGCGGCCAGGCUCGACGCCAAGCUGACGGUCCUCGUCGCUGAGAAGCUCGGCGAGGCCGGGUUGGACCUUCUGAAGGAAAUCGACGACCGCCAGAAGAAUCGGGUACGUCUUCGUUUUGCUUCUGUCUCUCUCGCCGGCUUCUGAUCAUCACGGAAAUCGCAACUUCAUUGUAUCUCCGGUCCCAGGCUGCAACCGGAGUCGUUGCAAUCGGAGUCAAAUCAGUGUGAAGGCAAAUGGUCAACCGGAAUUGUUGCAAAAUGACUGGAAUUGUGGGCAAAAUCGUCAACAGGAGUCGAGAUUAUUGGGGGGCAAUAAUGUGUCUUAAUUGUUGUAAAUUCUCUAUAAUUGUGUUCAGUGAUAUUUUCCUUUGUGUUUAAAGACUGCUUCUAAUGUGUUUUGGUAUUUCUGAUAUAUUAUUGGGGGGCAAUAAUCUGUUUAUUGCAGGGCAAUAAUAUACUUGUUUUGUUAUUGUUUGGA